rnacentral:rRNA from 1 species
CCGCGGGAUUAGAGUUUGAUCCUGGCUCAGAGCGAACGCUGGCGGCAGGCUUAACACAUGCAAGUCGAGCGGGCACUUCGGUGUCAGCGGCGGACGGGUGAGUAACGCGUGGGAACGUGCCCUCUGGUUCGGAAUAACUCAGGGAAACUUGAGCUAAUACCGGAUACGCCCUUUUGGGGAAAGGCUUGCUGCCGGAGGAUCGGCCCGCGUCUGAUUAGCUAGUUGGUGAGGUAACGGCUCACCAAGGCGACGAUCAGUAGCUGGUCUGAGAGGAUGAUCAGCCACACUGGGACUGAGACACGGCCCAGACUCCUACGGGAGGCAGCAGUGGGGAAUAUUGGACAAUGGGCGCAAGCCUGAUCCAGCCAUGCCGCGUGAGUGAUGAAGGCCUUAGGGUUGUAAAGCUCUUUUAUCCGGGACGAUAAUGACGGUACCGGAGGAAUAAGCCCCGGCUAACUUCGUGCCAGCAGCCGCGGUAAUACGAAGGGGGCUAGCGUUGCUCGGAAUCACUGGGCGUAAAGGGCGCGUAGGCGGCGUUUUAAGUCGGGGGUGAAAGCCUGUGGCUCAACCACAGAAUGGCCUUCGAUACUGGGACGCUUGAGUAUGGUAGAGGUUGGUGGAACUGCGAGUGUAGAGGUGAAAUUCGUAGAUAUUCGCAAGAACACCGGUGGCGAAGGCGGCCAACUGGACCAUUACUGACGCUGAGGCGCGAAAGCGUGGGGAGCAAACAGGAUUAGAUACUCUGGUAGUCCACGCCGUAAACGAUGAAUGCCAGCUGUUGGGGUGCUUGCACCUCAGUAGCGCAGCUAACGCUUUGAGCAUUCCGCCUGGGGAGUACGGUCGCAAGAUUAAAACUCAA